rnacentral:snRNA from 1 species
UAUUCGCUUCUAAGUGGAAUAGA